rnacentral:misc_RNA from 1 species
CACGUACUGUGCGAACGUUAUUCGGAAUCACUGGGCUUAAAGGGUGCGUAGGCGGUUUAUCAAGUCAGAUGUGAAAUGCCUGAGCUCAACUGAGGCACUGCGUUUGAAACUGAUAGACUGGAGUGUUCCAGGGGUAUGCGGAACUGCCAGUGGAGCGGUGAAAUGCGUUGAUAUUGGCAGGAACACCAGUGGCGAAGGCGGCAUACUGGGGGACGACUGACGCUGAGGCACGAAAGCCAGGGUAGCGAACGGG